CGCGGAGUAGAGCAGUUCGGUAGCUCGUCGGGCUCAUAACCCGAAGGUCACAGGUUCAAAUCCUGUCUCCGCAA
rnacentral:tRNA from 1 species